GGAGAGGGAAGCUGAGUCCCCCAAGAGCAGCUUGGCUCACCAUGCAUGCAGAGGAAGCAACCAGAGCAAGGUCUCCCGAGGCAGGUCCGGGGGUUCUGGAGGAGCUGCUGACCUAUGAUGACCUUUUCCUGGAGUAUUUCAAUGCCUUCCUGGCUCUGCCUGCCUUUCCUUUGAGACUGCGCUACGACCGGCUCAGGGGGCAGCUGCAGGAGCUGGAUGGCUUCCUCCCAGAGUCUCCCAGCCAGCCGGGGAUGAAGCCAAGCUCUCCUCACUAUGGAGCCACUGACGCAGAGAGGGAAAGGAUCCUGGGCUGGCUGAGGAGGGAGCGCUUACCCCCUUUUCAGAGGACGGCCCUUUACCUGGAGUACAAGCUGGCAAAGCUGCUGAUUCGUCCUCUGGAUGAAGGCUACCCAGUGAGCCGGCAUGAGAUUCGUGGGUACAGCCGUCAGUCUGAGAGAACUGCUGUCUCCAGCAUUCCCAGUCACCCAUCAACAGCUGGGCUGCCCACCAGGGUCCCCAGCCUCGGGCUGUGGAGGCCUCCUAGUCAGACCCGCAGCACUCCAGCCCACCUAGAAGGCUCCGUGGAUGGCUGGACUAAUGCUGGUGGGUCCGAGAGAUCCCUUGAUGGCCUGACCAGAGCCGCCUCUAGCUCUUCACCCACGGCAGGGCAACACUUGGGCAGGUAAGGCUACGAAGGGAUAAUGCAGGUCUCGGUGCUG
rnacentral:lncRNA from 1 species